rnacentral:tRNA from 2 species
CGCGGAGUGGAGCAGUUGGUAGCUCGUCGGGCUCAUAACCCGAAGGUCGUUGGUUCGAAUCCUUCCUCCGCAACCA